rnacentral:rRNA from 1 species
AAACAAGAGUUUGAUCCUGGCUCCGAAUGAACGCUAGCGAUAGGCCUAACACAUGCAAGUCGAACGCAUACUUUAGAGUAUGAGUGGCAGACGGGUGAGUAACGCGUGAGACAUCUACCUUACAGCCCGGUAUAAAUAUCUAUAUAGAGGCGAAAAUCUUUAUAUAUGAGUGAAUCCCGGAUAUUUUGAAUAAAAAAAAAGGCAAAGAACCGUUGUAAGAUGAGCUCGCGUAGGAUUAGGUAGUUGGUAAGGUAAAAGCUUAUCCAAGCCGAUGAUCCUUAGCUAGUUCUGAGAGGAUGAUCAGCCACACUGGGACUGAGACACGGCCCAGACGCUUUCGAGCGGCAGCAGUGAGGAAUUUUGGACAAUGGGCGAAAGCCUGAUCCAGCUAUAUCGCAUGAAUGAAGAAGGCUCAAUUGGUUGUAAAAUUCAUAGUUUCAUUGUAGAUUAUGACAUUGAUGAAAUGAAUAGUCCCGGCCAACUCCGUGCCAGCAGCCGCGGUAAUACGGGGGGGGCGAGCGUUAUUCGAAAUGAUUGGGCGUAAAGAGCACGUAGACGGUUUUUUAAGUGGACAUUAUAUCUUUUUUGUUCUCUAAGGAUAAAAAAGAAAGGAUUAUGGAAAUAUUUCUGUACUCGGGAAAAAGACCAAGGCUCAACCAUGGUGUUUCCCGCCAAACUAAAAAACUAGAGUAAGUUAGAGGAAAGUGGAAUUCCUGGAGGAAAGGUUAAAUUUUAUGAUAUCAGGAGGAACGCCCAAAGCGUAGGCAACUUUCUACUGCUUAACUGACGUUGAGGUGCGAAAGCAUGGGGAUCAAAGGGGAUUAGAUACCCCUGUAGUCCAUGCCGUCAACUAUGAGAAUUCACUCUUAGAACACUGUGUAUUCCUUUGAACGAUGGGUUUUUUCUCAUCAAUCAAAGGAAUACGCAGUUCGUUUUAGGGGUUCUAGCUAACGCGUUAAAUUCUCCGCCUGAGGAGUACGACCGCAAGGUUAAAACUCAAAGGAAUAGACGGGGGCUCACACAAGUGGUGGAACAUGUGGUUUAAUUCGACACAACGCGCAAAACCUUACCAGCCCUUGACAUAAGCUUGAAUACAUCUUUUAUCGGAUAAUUAUACAGUUUACAGGCGUUGCAUGGCUGUCGUCAGCUCGUGUCGUGAAACCAAUAUAUAAAAAAAUAAUCGCGACCUAGAGGAGUGAUCCUCUAGUAAAAUCCAACUCAUAACGGUGGAACCCUUGUGUAAAGGCAUUGAUUUACAGAUAUAUCAAAAUAAGCAAGGGCAAUACCGUGGGAAGUCGAUAGAUAAUGUAUUCUUUUGUUUUACGUAGUAAAACAACAAAAAUAAUAAAAGAAAGAUCUAUCCUUUUUUGUAUUAAAAAAAUACAAAAAUCCACCAAAAAAAAGGUAUUAUAAACGAACAUUUUUUUGUGUGCUAUCUUCAUAUAUUAUAUUCUUAUAGACUUUAUAUAUAUAUAACUUUCUUUCAUUAUCUAAACAUAAUACUGUAAUAUUUGACCCCGUAACGACUUUGUUAUUUUUUUUACAAAAAAAGGCAAGAUAUCGGAUCUUAUUGAAUAUAAAAAUUGAAUAUGCCGGUAUAACACGUUGGCUCUUGUAACACUAUUUUGAAAAAGAUAGUAACAAGAUGAAGGUAUAGUCUAUUCCUUA